AGAGUUUGAUCCUGGCUCAGGAUGAACGCCGGCGGUGUGCCUAAUACAUGCAAGUCGUACGCACUGGCCCAACUGAUUGAUGGUGCUUGCACCUGAUUGACGAUGGAUCACCAGUGAGUGGCGGACGGGUGAGUAACACGUAGGUAACCUGCCUCGGAGCGGGGGAUAACAUUUGGAAACAGAUGCUAAUACCGCAUAACAACAAAAGCCACAUGGCUUUUGUUUGAAAGAUGGCUUUGGCUAUCACUCUGGGAUGGACCUGCGGUGCAUUAGCUAGUUGGUAAGGUAACGGCUUACCAAGGCAAUGAUGCAUAGCCGAGUUGAGAGACUGAUCGGCCACAAUGGAACUGAGACACGGUCCAUACUCCUACGGGAGGCAGCAGUAGGGAAUCUUCCACAAUGGGCGCAAGCCUGAUGGAGCAACACCGCGUGAGUGAAGAAGGGUUUCGGCUCGUAAAGCUCUGUUGUUGGAGAAGAACGUGCGUGAGAGUAACUGUUCACGCAGUGACGGUAUCCAACCAGAAAGUCACGGCUAACUACGUGCCAGCAGCCGCGGUAAUACGUAGGUGGCAAGCGUUAUCCGGAUUUAUUGGGCGUAAAGCGAGCGCAGGCGGUUGCUUAGGUCUGAUGUGAAAGCCUUCGGCUUAACCGAAGAAGUGCAUCGGAAACCGGGCGACUUGAGUGCAGAAGAGGACAGUGGAACUCCAUGUGUAGCGGUGGAAUGCGUAGAUAUAUGGAAGAACACCAGUGGCGAAGGCGGCUGUCUGGUCUGCAACUGACGCUGAGGCUCGAAAGCAUGGGUAGCGAACAGGAUUAGAUACCCUGGUAGUCCAUGCCGUAAACGAUGAGUGAUAGGUGUUUGGAGGGUUUCCCCCCUU
rnacentral:rRNA from 1 species